rnacentral:lncRNA from 1 species
UUUCACUCUAUAUGAUUUUCUCCAUGGAGGAGGUUAAAGAAGAGAAACCGAUAGGAACCAACAAGUGCAGAGAGAAGAUGAUUCAUGUCUUCACCGUGCGCAACUCAAAAACAUAUUCGUCUGAAACUCUUCGCCACGGAGAUACCGCUUGCUAACCCGCUCUCUCCCCUCUCGUCAUCGCCACGGUUCUGUUUUCUGGUACCAACCAUCUCUUACUCCUAUUUCGAUUUUGAAAUUAGAUCGUGUUUCUUCAUCGAUUUAAUUGAACUCGAUCUCUUUGUAUGCGUUUCUGGUUGUUGACUGGUAGUAGUAGGAAGAGAGCAAGUUAAAGAACUAAGGACGAAGCUACAAUGAUAUGUGUUCAGAGAGAGAGAGAGCAACAUUUGUUUCUGGCUUGUCUCCAAGUCCCUGGUGAUUGGUGAUGGUGAUUG